UUUUUGUUUUUUUUUUUUUCAAUAUAAAAAUUGUAUAUAAAAAGUUCUGAAAGCCAAAAGCUUUCUCAUCAAAAUAGGUGCCAAAACUCCUGUGGCAGCAAAAACUGACAUGAACUGAUGGGAGUCUAUUUAAAUCUUCAUUUGUCUCACUUAGUGUGAAUAAUCAAGCGCUUUGCUACACAACAUUUGCCUAGAGGGUACUGCCCCAGACCAUGCUGGAGAAACUCGUGGUAUGUGAACCAUACCACCUUUCAAGGAUCCAAAAUAUUCGAAAUCCAAACCCAGUCAGACCCGCAAGCUCUGGAUAAGGAGCGGGACUGCUUGGACUUCUUGUCCUACGGGCCUCAACCGCAGCUUCAGCUCGCAGAGGGCAUCGCAGGGACUGCGCACAGCCAGACCCGUACACCCGGCCUACGCAAAUGAAAAAUCCAUACAACUCCCAAGCAGUAUGGAUCUGUUUACACCCUCUGUGGACUUGAUUUGGUAGACAGUGGGGAGGGGUGUCACUGAGGCUAUGAAGCAGAAGAGCCGUACAAUCAAAGGGCACUACAGCCUGCAAGUCGUUUUUCAAAACCUCCCGAGAUCACCCGCACCAGAAUCGCCUACAGAGUGUCCACCAGAAAUGCAGACUCCAGGCCCCGCUUUCAAUCUGCUGGAUCAGAAUUUCUACAAGGGGUCCCGGGGAUGAACCCUGUAAGAGGCCACCCAGGCAGCUCUUGGACACAUUAAAACCUGAAGAUACUCAGAGCACAAUCUCGGGAAUAUUCGUGGAUUGAUGAAGAAGUCCAGCCCCUACCUGGAACCCACCAAGAAUAUGCUCCGGGCAAGCCACAGCUAGCGAAUGGAAGGACACCACUGUUUGGGCCACCACAUGGAUUUAGGGUUGAAACAUGGAAGCAAGAUGCUUCCGACACUGAGAAGCUCCGCCUUUCCACCUCCUAUUAAAAAUCUGACUGUUCCACGCAUAUCUUGUGGAAGAGUGGUGGAGAAAGCAAGGCAGGGACAAGCAGAGUGAAGGGCUUUUGGCAUUCGGACAGCCUGCUCUAGCACUAAACACUUGAUUAAGCACAUACAAAACCAGCACCGCAAGAGUCUUCAAAUAGUUAAAUUUUCAAUCCUUAUAAAAAAGAAAAUCCAUCAGAUGUGAUUGAUAAGUGUACUUUUUAAAACUAAGAGUAAAAAAGUGAAGAUUGGCAACAUUUUUCGCCAUAUAAUUUGCUUUCUUUGCCUUUUUCCAGAGCGCUGCACAUAAAUCAAAGAAAUGGUAAAGAGGCCCAUAUAUCACCAACUGGCAUUUCAAAACUAUUUACCAAGUCUUUAACAGACACAGGUCAGAGUAUGGAAAACCACGACCAAGGCAGCAGAAAUUAAAGGGAGAAAAUUAACUCAAACACUGACAGAGAGUUGAUGAGGUUUACAAGUAACUUUCCAAUGAGCAAAUUAUGAUAUUUAAUAAGAACAGCCUUGGUGAGGCAGAGUUAGAAAAGCCGGAGGGGGAUGGGAAGGAAGAGAAGCCAAGAGAAUUUUCCGAACAAGAGGAAUGUAUAUUUGAACAAGCUGCCUUUCUAUGAUUAAGCACAGAAAUCUGGGAACAAGGCAGGGAAAUGAUGUUUAAUAAGGUAUGAGACAGGCUUGUGAGCUGCAUUCUGCAUCACCCUUGCAAAAACAGGGGGGGGAGGCCGGAAGCAUGCAGGCUCCGGCAUGUGUGAACUGCGGCUAAAGGUGGGCGCGGAGGUCAGGAAAGGUGGAUUUAAAUGGGCUCGAUUUCCCAGCCAGGAAAUGCAAGGACCCCUCAAAGGCAGCAGCAUGCUAAAACGGGUGGCUUACGCCCUCAUCUUCGAGGACAGGGAGAGCUGUAAACGGCUUUCCCUGUCUGCCUUCAUCAGCUCAGUUUACUCUAACGAAACACCGCGGGCCGGUGGCUGGAUCAACAGACACCUGCUCCUCAUCCUCCCGAGGCUGGGAAGUCCAAGAGCCAGGGGCCAGCAGCCCUGGCUCUUGCUGAGGGCCAGCCUUCCAGCCUGCGCACUGCCACCACGGCACUGUGUGCUCAGUGAUCUGCUCUUUGCGUGCACACAGAGGGAGAGGGCUCUGGACCCUCUUCCUCUUCUUCUAAGGAUACCUGACCCCAUCAUGGGGGUUCUGCUCUCAUGACCGCAUCCAACAUCAUCACCAGAGGCCCCACCUCCUAAUACAAUCACACUGAGGUAACAUUAGAGCUUCAACAUACGACAUUUGGGGGAUACCAACAUUCGGUCCCUAACAUGGUCCAUCUGUUCAAGCUGGCGCAGGCCUGGUGAGCGCCUGAUCAGACAUUCCACUGUUACUCCAAGAAGCAGGCUGUGUGCACUGGCACCAGAGCCAGACUUGAGUCUUGGGGACGGCCUCCCUCCACCCCCUCACUAGAGCACUGCUGGCCCUCCCCUGGCCCAGCACAAGGGUAGUGGCUCUAAUUUUAAUGGAGUCACUGCUUCUUUGAAAAACUCAGCUUUUAACACUGCCAUCACCCACCAUGCACUCUCGCCCUUAACAUACACUCCAGAAAAGCUAACUGCUGAGAGCCAAAAGAGGAAGAGAGCUCUACUGAGAAAGAGGUUUUAAAACCAGCUUCUAGGUAAAAGAGGGGGAAAAGGUCAGUCUCUUCUUCUCAAGAACGCAGUGUUUCAUCCUCUCUCUUUGCUGCUACACAAUGAAAUAUUAGCGUCAGACAGAUCCUGUUAGAAAGCAUACCAGGGACCCAGAGACAUCUUACUCUACUUCACAUCGGCAACGUCCAAGUGUCUGCACAAAUUUCUUAGAAUUAUGCAAUGAAAAAAGAGACCUUGCAUGGAAAAUAUAAGCCCAUUACAGCAAAAUGUGCUUUUUAAAACACUAAGAUGCUAGAAACCUAUGUGUACUAGAAAGAAAAAUGUGUCUAAAACAAGAACCAGAGUCUGCUUGUUGCACAUGGCAGAAACGGCCAUGUUCCCGGCAUUCUCUCCUGAAACCACCAGAACGAGAGCAAAUCCAGGGUAUAAGCCCCAAGGAUAAAGAGAUGGGGGGGGAUGAUAAGAAACGAUGAUAAGAAAUUAAUUUUAAUUCUAACGUUCAAUUUUAGAAGCGAGGAAGCAAGUGAAACAGCGUUACCUUGGCGGAGAGCAGAACUCUGGAGCUCAGCCUGGCUGGUGGGAGGGAUCGGGGAGGACAGGGUAGGGAGGCCUGUGAAAGGCAAAGUGUACGGAACUGCAGGAAAGGGUGAGGAAGGGGAGGCACCCGUGCGGUGAAAGCCAGACGUGGGGCAGGAAUUAAAAAAAGGUGGAGUGGCCAGGCCUUUUUUUCAACAAAGGUCCCUACUGCCAUCAGAAGUCAAGACGGGCUGACCUAAGGGACAAGUGAAAACCGGGGGACAAAUCUCCGAAGGGCGAGACGGCCUCCCGCCCCAGCCUGCACAAAAAGAAACAACAGUCGUAGCACACUAUCCGGCUCGGCUGUGAACACUUCACAGUCCUGACAGUAUAAACACGGAGCAUCAAUUAAAGUAGGCCAACAGGGAGCCAGUGGGACACGAGGGUUCGAUCUUUCUCCUCCACAGUGGAGUCAACAGAGAACAUCUAAAACAGCAGUCUAAGCCAGCUGGUUAGAAACGUGCAGGCAGGUAUCCAAAGAAACGACCACAAGAGCCUAAAGGAGUUCCCUCCAGAGAGGGGCAUGUGCAACAACCAGACAAAGGACCAACGCCUCUGUCAUAAACCUGGUAGGCUUACUUAUUUGCCUCUUUGUAUUCCUUUGAUGACGAUAAGAAUUAUAAUAGAAAAAGAAAUAGAGCCUCAAAGCUAAGCAGGUCCUGAAAAUGUAAGCCUCUGCACACGACAAAACGUGCGUCGUCACCUGGGAACUUACUCGUUUACUAUAGUAACACUUAAUUAUAUUUCAAGUUUUACGGCAUGACAGCUAAAGGUUUGUAUAAUAGCAGAUGCCUUCCCUCCCACACAUCAAUUAAUUUGCAAAUUCACUCAGGUUGCAGAAAUAAUGAGGUGCAGAAAGCUUCUUCCACUGGUGAGCGCUGCCUUCAGAAGGUGGAUGUGGUGGGCGAGGUGAUGAGGGCACUGCUAGCUGCACGCCAGAGCCGCCGGGCCAAGGAGGACGCUCUGCCAUUAGCCCAAGAGCCCCGAGGACCCACCCGGCUCCAAGGCUCCAAAUCAAGAGAAAGGACGGAAGGGCACCACCUUGAAAAACGGAAAAACAAUGGAAAAAAUCUAGAGACACGCAAGGGAAUGAGAGACGGUCUCCGCCUCAUGAAAUAAAAUCAUGUUUUUUAUGUUCCUUUUUAUAGGCUCUCAUUUGAUGUUUACCAAGAAAGUAAACUUUCUGAAAUAAAAUGAUGUGGCACUCUGAGUUCAACUUUGGACUAUAAUUUGGCAAAACCACCCACCAAGCCCACGCAUUUGAUUUUUUUUCUUCUUUCUGAAAGAGCUGCACCGAAGUAACCAAUGUUGUUUCAAAACACAGGGUUGAAAAUAGCUACGCCGCUUCCGGCUCUGCCAAAGAACUGUCUCUUUUCUCAUUUCCACUUAAAUCUUUUUUUUUCAAGUGACCUAAAUGGUGGGC
rnacentral:lncRNA from 1 species